rnacentral:rRNA from 1 species
AGCCAGACUCCUACGGGAGGCAGCAGUGGGGAAUAUUGCACAAUGGGGGAAACCCUGAUGCAGUGACGCCGCGUGAGUGAAGAAGUAUUUCGGUAUGUAAAGCUCUAUCAGCAGGGAAGAAAAUGACGGUACCUGACUAAGAAGCCCCGGCUAACUACGUGCCAGCAGCCGCGGUAAUACGUAGGGGGCAAGCGUUAUCCGGAUUUACUGGGUGUAAAGGGAGCGUAGACGGCAUGGCAAGUCAGAUGUGAAAGCCCGGGGCUCAACCCCGGGACUGCAUUUGAAACUGUCAGGCUGGAGUGCAGGAGAGGUAAGUGGAAUUCCUAGUGUAGCGGUGAAAUGCGUAGAUAUUAGGAGGAACACCAGUGGCGAAGGCGGCUUACUGGACUGUAACUGACGUUGAGGCUCGAAAGCGUGGGGAGCAAACAGGAUUAGAUACCCCAGUA